GGUCAGAGAAGCCAAGAACAAGCUCCACCAUGAAAAGCUCUCCAUCAAACCUUAGACCAGACGAUGCUGCAGGCUGAAGAAGACCAUCAACCAUUCCGCCAAACACAUAUAAAAAUCUCCCUGAACAAUCAGCGCAGGAAUGGUUUUAACAUCCAACACCCAGAAAUCAUCUUUCCUAUGCCUAUAAGAAUCUUCACCGCCAUAAAUCAAGAUUCGACCUCCCAAUACAAGAGUCGCCGAGUGACCAACCCGAGGCAACGAUGCGUAUUCGGGAACAUCCUGGAAAUCGUAGAAUAUCUGUAUCCAUUUUUCUUCACACGGUUCUUGAAUAUCCAAGAUCCAAACAUCAUCAAGCACAUCAUAUCCUAAUCCUCUGCCUCCAAAUAGAACCACUUGGUUUUCUCUAAUGCAGGUCAAAGUAUGCCCUGAGCGCGGUGGCGGUAAUUGUGGAGACUCCACCAUGUGCCAUGUCCCAGAGCUGAAAUCUUCAGAAAGUUCAAGAAUCCAUGUAUCUCCAAGCCUGACUCCAUUCAGCCCGAUUCCUCCAUGUACAACCAUCUUCUUCUCAGCAAUACAACAGGCGGAAUGAGCACCACGAGGAGGAGGACGAGGCCGCUGCAAAGACCCAACAUUGAGGAGUUUCCAAGAGAGUCCCUCGUGGCAAAAGACUUGACCAAUCCAUGUGUCAUUUAGCCUCUCUCCACGGUCAUUUAUACCUCCAAAUAAGAGUAGAUACUCGCCUAUAACGAUGCAGGUGUGUCCGAAUCUCCCACUUGGAGUCCCU